rnacentral:lncRNA from 1 species
GAUACCAUGCAGAGCUUUGUUGCGGAUUUGGGGCAGCAGAUCUCCCAGCUGCAGCAGCAGAAGGAAAAGCAGGAGGCUGUGGUCAAGCAACUGCAAGAGGACAACAGGGCUCUCCAGGAGGAGGGGGCAAAGCAGAGGGAGCAGCUGGAGGAGGUGCAGAGGCACAGGAGCAGCUUCCAGGAGCAGAUCCAGGAGCAGAUCCACAGGCUGUCAGCACAGAUCCGGGACAUAUGGAGCAGCAGUUCUGGUGGGAGCACAGCGAUGCCCUCCAGUGCAGCCAUGGCCCUGAGCCUCCUCGUGACGCUGCUCACUGCAAAGUGGCUGCACUGAGCACAGCGACACGGACCCGGGUCGCCCCUGUCAGUGUGGGGCCAUGGGGAAACCAGGGGGAGAUGGUUUGCCAAGUGCUGGCCCGAGGGGUGAGAUGGGACAAGGCACGUUCAGGGGACAGCGGUGCCACACGGUUCGGUGGGUCUAAACUGAUUUCCAAUAAAACUUCAUGCAAAUCCAAAGCGUUCUGCUGCUCCAGUGUCCUUUGGGGUGGCGGAUGGCGCAGCCCAACAGCCUGGUUUUGUCCAGGGGCUGAGCAUCCUCCCACGCACAACACAAACCACACCACCAUGGGCUGUGACCGGAGAGAAACCACCGCCUGGAGCAACCGGGCACAGUGUGUGGCACUGUCCCACGUCCCCAGCAUGGACCCUGCAGUGUCCAGAGCCACGCUGAAGGCAAUGGGGCUGUGCACACUGCUGGUGCUGCUGGUGGCGGCGGUGACAGCGGCGGUGGCGGUGUUGCUGUGGCGCUCAGAGGCACUGGGGAAGCUGCAAGGCUGCCAGGAGCGGGCGGCCAACGAGAGCCGUGUGCUGGAAAUGCGAGUGGCACAGCUGGAGAGGGAACUCGACCGACUGCAGCACGUGGCUGAUGAGAGACAGAGGGAGGAGGAUGCGCUGCGCCGGGAGCUCAGCCGAGUGCGCAAGGAUGGAGAGAAGCUCAGCUCCAGCCUGCGGUCCUGCCGGAUGCAGGCGGCCAGGCUGGAAGCCAACAUCACAGCGCUGCAGGAUGAGCUGGAGGGGCUGCGGCGUGACAGGGCUGAGCUGUCCCACAGGAACACAGCACUGCAAGAGGAGCUGGCUCAGGGCGCAGAGCGGGCGCUGGGGCUGCAGCAGAGGCUGGAGGAGGUGGCGGAGCAGCGGAGAGCACUGAGGGCACGUGGGGAGCGAUGCGAGGAGAAGCAGCGGGAGCUCGAGGCCACGCUGUGAGGAUCCCAGCUCCAGAGCACCCUCCAUCCCCAUCCUGUCCCUAUCCGUGUCCCUGACCCUGCUGUGCUCUGCCUGCAGGAAGGACCGUGCAGCUGAGCUGGAUGCGCUGCGGCGGCGGUUGGGGCCCCGCACGGCACGGCGCAGGUGCUCCCCUUCCCGGUACAUUGAGUGGGUGCUGCUCUGCCUUUCAGCCCUGCUCCUUUUGGGAGUGGGCACCCUGGGGUGGGGGCUCGUCUGGCACAGCAUGGCUGCAUGUUGUCCCAUCACACCCCUUUGUCGCUGCAUCCCUGCAGGGUCUCACUCUGUGCUGUCCACUCCUUUUUGCAGGAAGAGCUGAAGCUCCAUAGCACCCUCCUGUCCAGCCCCUCUUUGCCAGCAUGGACACCACACACACAGGAUGGCAUCAGCCUUACAGCAGCAGGAACCAGGGCUGCCCAUUGCUCCCAGUCCCACCAGCACUAAAACUAGCUCACCCCCUCUGAACUCAAGAGCACAGAGUUGGCACAGCACCAACGACCCUCCCCACGUCCCCUUGUGUGUGUUGUCCCCUCCCCACAACACACUGAGCAGCUGUGGGUGCUGCCUGCUUGCUGGGGCCAAAUGAUGGUGACCAGCCCUUGCCCUGAGGCCAGCCAGAGCUGCUCAUUAAUCAUUAAUUUUAUUCACCUACUGAUUAAACAGGAAUGGUGCUCCAUGAAGUUCAAACCCCCGCUGCUCAGUGCGCCCCGGUAAUUUGGCCAGCUCAGUGCUUAGGGGGCACUGUGCAGUUUACCAACACUGGGCUCUGGGGGUCCUGGGGCUGAGCCACUUGGGGAGGGGGGAAAGGGGGGGAUGGGAGGGAUGAAUGGCUGCCACUGAUUCCCAGCUCUUCCCUGUUCCUUUGAUCCACACGAAAGACAGUUUCCAGGAAAGUUGCUGCCGAUUUUCCUGCCGCUGCCACAGCGGUAUCCUGUGCAGAGGGCAGGGUGAGAGCAGGCAUCCGGCCCCCCUGCCCCACAGG